AACCUUAUGGACCUGCGGGCGUAUACCUGCGGAAGGAUCAUUAAAAAGAGUGUGUACCCCUCUGUAAAAUGAGUGGGUUACCUCCCGUCCUUUGUUGACCUCUUAGGAGGUUAUUUUGAACUUUCUGCUUCGGUGGGGUUAAACCUACCGGAACACCCUCAAAUUCUUAUCAUUUAAAAAUUGUUCAGUCUGAUUUUUGUUAAUAAAAACAAAAAACUUUUAGCAACGGAUCUCAGAUCG
rnacentral:misc_RNA from 1 species